rnacentral:tRNA from 1 species
GGGGGUGUAGCUUAGUUGUUAGAGUGCUUGCCUAGCAUGCAUGAGGCCCUGGGUUUGAUCCCUAGCACCUUAU